AUUUCAAAAAGAGGAAACAAGUAACUUUCAGCAAAUUCGAGCAAAUUCUAUAAAUAGUAAUGGUUCUGUAAUUGAAUCAGAAAUUGUUACCAGUUCUGUUACCAAGGCAAAUGUACAGUGCGAGCGCUUCGUUAACGGGGUAUAACACGGUUGUAUACAGUACAACACAA